AUUCUGGCUCAGGACAACGCUGGCGGCGUGCCUAAUACAUGCAAGUCGAACGGCUUUUCUAUGGAAGCUUGCUUCCACUGAGAAGAUAGUGGCGAACGGGUGAGUAACACGUGGGUAACCUGCCCAUAAGAGGGGGGAUAACAUCCGGAAACGGGUGCUAAUACCGCAUAGUUUUCUUGAUCGCAUGAUCGGGAAAGGAAAGACGGCCUUUGUGCUGUCGCUUAUGGAUGGACCCGCGGCGUAUUAGUUAGUUGGUGAGGUAACGGCUCACCAAGACGAUGAUACGUAGCCGACCUGAGAGGGUGAUCGGCCACAUUGGGACUGAGACACGGCCCAAACUCCUACGGGAGGCAGCAGUAGGGAAUCUUCCGCAAUGGACGAAAGUCUGACGGAGCAACGCCGCGUGAGUGAAAGAAGGUUUUCGGAUCGUAAAACUCUGUUGUCAGAGAAGAACAAGUUGGAGAGUAACUGCUCCAGCCUUGACGGUAUCUGACCAGAAAGCCACGGCUAACUACGUGCCAGCCGCCGC
rnacentral:rRNA from 1 species